rnacentral:rRNA from 2 species
CCAAUAGCGUAUAUUAAAGUUGUUGCAGUUAAAAAGCUCGUAGUUGAAUUUCGGGAUCAAUGCGUCGGUCGUGCCUUCGGUACGUACUAGCGUCAUUGAUUCCUCCCUUCUGAAGAACCGUGAUGUCAUUAAUUUGGUGUUACGGGGAAUCAGGACUGUUACCUUGAAAAAAUUAGAGUGUUUAAAGCAGGCUAACGCUUGAAUACAUUAGCAUGGAAUAAUGAAAUAGGACGUUCGAACCUAUUUUGUUGGUUUCUAGGAUCGACGUAAUGAUUAAUAGGGAUAGUUGGGGGCAUUAGUAUUCAAUUGUCAGAGGUGAAAUUCUUGGAUUUAUUGAAGACUGACUACUGCGAAAGCAUUUGCCAAGGAUGUUUUCAUUAAUCAAGAACGAAAGUUAGGGGAUCGAAGACGAUCAGAUACCGUCGUAGUCUUAACCAUAAACUAUGCCGACUAGGGAUCGGAUGAUGUUAAUUUUAUAAUGACUCAUUCGGCGCCUUACG